rnacentral:lncRNA from 1 species
CCCAAAUUCGCAAGUCCAUAUCUGGACAUUUCCAGAAAUGGAAAUAUGACCUAUUUAGAACAAGGAAGAUUCACAAACAAUAAUAAAAAUGACAGGGAAAAUAUUAUGAGGAGGGGACCCACUUGCCAGUGACCCUCACUGGAUGACAUGUGGGUCUAGAGGGCCCACUGUCAUACACACACACAGCAAUUACACACAUCUCACACUCAAA